GACAUAGGUGGCGAACGUUAUCCGGAUUCACUGGGUUUUAAAGGGUGCGUAGGUGGCUAUAUAAGUCAGUGGUGAAAGCCCGCGGCUCAACCGUGGAAUUGCCAUUGAAACUGCAUAGCUUGAGUACAGUUGAAGUGGGCGGAAUAUAUCAUGUAGCGGUGAAAUGCUUAGAUAUGAUAUAGAACACCGAUUGCGAAGGCAGCUCACUAAGCUGUAACUGACACUGAGGCACGAAAAGCGUGGGGUAGCGAACAGG
rnacentral:rRNA from 1 species